ACCACUACCACUAACUAACUAACCGCCCUCCGAGAAAUUUAACAUAAAAGAAAAAUGAUAAUAAUAAUAAUAAUAAUAAUAAUAAUAAAACAUACCUGGAAACCCGCCUUCCAUCUUCCGGUCCCAUAUCACGGUUUCCGCAUCAGUGAAAUCGACACUGGACUGAUGCAGGACGGACACCACGAAGACGCCACCGGUGGCGGGAACGAGGGAUACUUCGCCCAGCGCCGUGGAAAACGUGGAGAGCAAUUCCUGAGCGAACUACAGCAUGGAUUAGAGAAAAACCAGCAUUGCAUUAUUUGGAAGUGGCAACGGCUAGAUCCAGGGGGAAGGGGCUGAUACGAUAGACAGAGAGAGAGGGAGGCAUACAUAUGCCGCCCUGAGCAGCCAUUUGCACUGCGUGCAGUACUUUAUCGUCACGCGAGGUAGGUGGAUGUGUGCUUUAUGCGCUUCUGCUAGAGGGAUGGCGGAUUGCUGGUUUAGGUUUGGUUUUUCGUCCGCUUCAUCUUCAUUCCCAUGCUGUCUCGGUUGCGGAUUAUUGUUGCCAUUGGAGGUUGGGGCUGUAGUAGAGGUCGGUGCGGCUGGGGCUAGGUCGGACAUUCUUUCUUAUCUCCUCUUUAUUUAUGAUCUAGCUUUAUAUAUAUGUGUUCCACGGGACUGAAUCCCAAGGUCCUUGGUGUGUUUCAAUGAUUAUAUGGGUGAAAAUAUUGAUUUGGUAGACGAAAGGGCCGGAUUGGUUCAUAAUGCCGGUGAAUAUGAGUAUGAUAGCAUAUGGUUCAGAAAGCCGAUAUAUGGGCAGAAUUGGCUCUAUUUUAUUUUGACUAAGAAC
rnacentral:sRNA from 1 species